rnacentral:rRNA from 1 species
AUUGAACACUGGCGGCAGGCCUAACACAUGCAAGUCGUGCGGCAGCGGGAAAGUAGCUUGCUACUUUUGCCGGCGAGCGGCGGACGGGUGAGUAAUGCCUGGGAAAUUGCCCAGUCGAGGGGGAUAACAGUUGGAUACGACUGCUAAUACCGCAUACGCCCUACGGGGGAAAGCAGGGGACCUUCGGGCCUUGCGCGAUUGGAUAUGCCCAGGUGGGAUUAGCUAGUUGGUGAGGUAAUGGCUCACCAAGGCGACGAUCCCUAGCUGGUCUGAGAGGAUGAUCAGCCACACUGGAACUGAGACACGGUCCAGACUCCUACGGGAGGCAGCAGUGGGGAAUAUUGCACAAUGGGGGAAACCCUGAUGCAGCCAUGCCGCGUGUGUGGAGAAGGCCUUCGGGUUGUAAAGCACUUUCGGCGAGGAGGAAAGGUUGAUGCCUAAUACGUAUCAACAGUGGCGUUACUCGCAGAAGAAGCACCGGCUAACUCCGUGCCAGCCGCUGCCGUAA